CAGGCUUAACACAUGCAAGUCGAGGGGCAGCAUGGUCUUAGCUUGCUAAGACUGAUGGCGACCGGCGCACGGGUGAGUAACACGUAUCCAACCUGCCGUCUACUCUUGGACAGCCUUCUGAAAGGAAGAUUAAUACAAGAUGGCAUCAUGAGUCCGCAUGUUCACAUGAUUAAAGGUAUUCCGGUAGACGAUGGGGAUGCGUUCCAUUAGAUAGUAGGCGGGGUAACGGCCCACCUAGUCUUCGAUGGAUAGGGGUUCUGAGAGGAAGGUCCCCCACAUUGGAACUGAGACACGGUCCAAACUCCUACGGGAGGCAGCAGUGAGGAAUAUUGGUCAAUGGGCGAGAGCCUGAACCAGCCAAGUAGCGUGAAGGAUGACUGCCCUAUGGGUUGUAAACUUCUUUUAUAAAGGAAUAAAGUCGGGUAUGCAUACCCGUUUGCAUGUACUUUAUGAAUAAGGAUCGGCUAACUCCGUGCCAGCAGCCGCGGUAAUACGGAGGAUCCGAGCGUUAUCCGGAUUUAUUGGGUUUAAAGGGAGCGUAGAUGGAUGUUUAAGUCAGUUGUGAAAGUUUGCGGCUCAACCGUAAAAUUGCAGUUGAUACUGGAUAUCUUGAGUGCAGUUGAGGCAGGCGGAAUUCGUGGUGUAGCGGUGAAAUGCUUAGAUAUCACGAAGAACUCCGAUUGCGAAGGCAGCCUGCUAAGCUGCAACUGACAUUGAGGCUCGAAAGUGUGGGUAUCAAACAGGAUUAGAUACCCUGGUAGUCCACACGGUAAACGAUGAAUACUCGCUGUUUGCGAUAUACGGCAAGCGGCCAAGCGAAAGCGUUAAGUAUUCCACCUGGGGAGUACGCCGGCAACGGUGAAACUCAAAGGAAUUGACGGGGGCCCGCACAAGCGGAGGAACAUGUGGUUUAAUUCGAUGAUACGCGAGGAACCUUACCCGGGCUUAAAUUGCAGAUGAAUUACGGUGAAAGCCGUAAGCCGCAAGGCAUCUGUGAAGGUGCUGCAUGGUUGUCGUCAGCUCGUGCCGUGAGGUGUCGGCUUAAGUGCCAUAACGAGCGCAACCCUUGUUGUCAGUUACUAACAGGUUCCGCUGAGGACUCUGACAAGACUGCCAUCGUAAGAUGUGAGGAAGGUGGGGAUGACGUCAAAUCAGCACGGCCCUUACGUCCGGGGCUACACACGUGUUACAAUGGGGGGUACAGAGGGCCGCUACCACGCGAGUGGAUGCCAAUCCCAAAAACCUCUCUCAGUUCGGACUGGAGUCUGCAACCCGACUCCACGAAGCUGGAUUCGCUAGUAAUCGCGCAUCAGCCACGGCGCGGUGAAUACGUUCCCGGGCCUUGUACACACCGCCCGUCAAGCCAUGGGAGCCGGGGGUACCUGAAGUGCGUAACCGCGAGGAGCGCCCUAGGGUAAAACUGGUGACUGGGG
rnacentral:rRNA from 1 species